UCUCUCUGCCUCUGUUCGGUAAAAGUAAGCUGGCGAGUGGCGCUGGCGCUGCGAGAGAGAGAGCGAGGAAGGGGAGGGAGGGCAGGGGAGGACGGAGUCAGCCCAAACGCUUCACUAUAUGCUGCACAGCCUGUGGGGGAGAGACGGCAGCCACAGGAAGGUGCCGGCUGUGACGUCACACGCUGCGCGCCGGAUGUCACCAGCCACCAGGAGAUUCAGUUUGUGGAAAGCAUCGGACUGAACAAGAGGCCUUUCCAUUUGGUCGGCACCUGGAUGGGGGGGAAUGUGGCAGGUGUUUAUGCCGCCCAGCACCCAACUGAUAUCAGCAGCCUCACCCUCAUCUGUCCUGCAGGUUUGAUGUAUCCAACCGAGAGUAAGUUCC